rnacentral:lncRNA from 1 species
GUACGUUAAUGUGAAACGUUACAAUUUAACGUUGAGGGAACGUUUUUUUUAACGUUGUGUGGAAGUUUCGUUUUGGUUUUGUUACAAAGAAGACGUUGUAGAAACGUUGAGUAUUGGUUAUUUUUAAAACGUUACUUAACUAACAGUCUUAAAACGUUCCAACAAUGUACGUCUUUUUUGCAACAAAAAAAAGAACCCCCCCCCC